CCACCCACUAGUGAUUCAGGCCUAACACAUGCAAAAAAAAAAAUUCUCUUUGGAGAAGAGCGGCGGACGGGUGAGUAACGCGUGGGUAACCUGCCCUAUACACACGGAUAACGUACCGAAAGGUACGCUAAUACGAGAUAAUAUAUUUUUAUCGCAUGGUAAAAAUAUCAAAGCUCUGGCGGUAUAGGAUGGACCCGCGUCUGAUUAGCUAGUUGGUAAGCCAAUGGCUUACCAAGGCGACGAUCAGUAGCCGACCUGAGGGGGUGAUCGGCCACAUUGGAACUGAGACACGGUCCAAACUCCUACGGGAGGCAAC
rnacentral:rRNA from 1 species